rnacentral:lncRNA from 1 species
GGCUUCCGUUUUCCUUCUCCUCCCUGGCCUCUCAGCCCGCUUGCCCCUGGUCCCUUUCCUUCCUUGUGAUGAGCAGUCCCUGCUCGGGUGCAGCUCUCUUGUUAGCUUGCGCGGGCCGUGUUCUCUCCACCUCGCCGCCGCUCCGCCAGCUGCGGAGCAGCGUGAUUCUGCUCCUCGGGAAAUGCUGUGCUUUGGGUGGAAAAGGACUGGCUUCCUGGCAGCGCCGAAUGAAGAUCCUUCUCCCCUGGAAACAAACAAAAUCCCUUUAUCUGUGGAACUUCCUGCUUCCUCCACUGAAAGCUGUGCUUUGCAAACGUGGGGCAUCCAGCCAGGGGCACACGGAAUCAUAGGAUAAACUGGGCACAUCUCCCUGGAUGGCACUUGAAACUUUGGGGGAAAAUGGUUUCCCAUCCUUCCUUGUAAAAAUGAUGGCUGUAUAUGAGUUGAAGAAUAUGAUGGAGGCCAACAGAAAAUUCACAGGGCAUUUAAAGAUUAAACAGGAGAUGUAAAAAUUUCAUGCUUCUGGUAAGCUGCUUUGGGUUAUGUCUUGAAAAUUCCGACAGCGUCGUUCCACCUCUUUGCUGUAAGGAAGUACUUCAGUGGGAGAUUUUGAACAGCACAAAAAGCUGUCCCUGAAAGCAGCUGUUGGCUGUUGGUUUGACCCAGGGACUUGGGUGCCUAGGGCUGAUUUAAUGAAGUUAGAGAAACUUUUGAAGUAUUAAUAGAGAUUUCUUUCCUUCCCACGCCUUAGAGUUUCCUUAUGUCCUGCUUAUUCUGUUAUUAGCUUAUUGCGUGGGGAGUGUUUGAAUUGGUGUAGCAGGAACGUAAAGAUAAAGAGUCAGGGGUCUUAUUUAUGUAUAUUUAAAUUCAUAGCAGAGACCAGCAUGACUUUGGAUGUGUAAGAGGUGUGGUGCGAACAUCAACAGCAAAUCUUGGGAGGAGUCAAGACGUUACGGGUUGGACUGCGUCCUUCCAAAAUUCCUACCUCCUAACCCCCAACACCUGAGAACGCGACCGCAUUUGGAAACGGGGUCUUUACAGAGGUGUUCAAGUUAAAAUGGGGCCUUGAGGAUUGGCUCUAAUCCAGUGUGCCUGCGGCCUUAUAAAAAGGGAACCUGGACACAGAGGCACUCAUAGAAAGGAGAUGAUAUGAAGAGACGUAGAGAAUGUGGCCUUUAUUCUGUAAACCCAAGAGGGAAGCCUGGAAUAAAGCCUUUGCCAUCCCUCAGAAGGCACCCUCUUCACCAGUACCUUCGUCUUGAACUUUAGCUUCCAGAGCUGCAGGCAGUAACUUUCUGCUGUGUAGGCCACCCAGUUUGCGGCAGCCCUCGCAAAGUAAGACCCAAGGCAUAAAGUUAUGCCAUACGCAGUAGACUGGAACUAUCGCGUCAUCAAAUCUAAGAUGUCAUCCGUUGCGAGGUCCGUCCCAGUGUGAGAGAUGACUCCGUGUGAAAAAAGGAGCCUUGAAGGCAACACACCACGGCGGUAGAUGGAGAAGCAGAGCCUCUUGUUCUGCAGCCAAGCAGGGCCUAGUCGAGGACAGGGAAGAACCGGGCGAGCUGUGAGGGAGCUCCUAUUGCCCUGGGCUCAUGGACCGAGACCUAGGGUCACAUCUUUAUGCAGAGGGCUGAGCCUUGAAGGGAGGGUGAGAUGAAUCCAAGAGCAGGAAAAUCUCCACCCUGCUCCCCAUCCCUGCUGGUUCUCAGGGAGAAGCCCUGCAGAGAAGUUCUUUGUUUCAUCAGGGUGCAGGACCAGGAAGGGGCAAAAGGCCCGAUCUACGUGUGAGACCACAGUGCAGUUCACCGCAGCAUCCCAAGCUCCUGGUGUUCACGCUGGUUUUAAAGUAGCAAAGAGAGAGGGUGGAAGGAGAGAGCAACAGCCCGCGAGGCAGCCGACCCGGAGAAAUCUGUGGUUGAGAUGAAAAGGAUCCAGAUGACCCCUCUGGACCUGAGGCUUGAAGGCCAACGCAAGGACUGAAGACACUGGUGAAGGAUUUGCUGAGGAGAGAGCCCAGUGACCAAAGGUCAGGUGGGAGGAAGGCCGUUUGAUGGAGGCUGGACCGGGAACCAUGUGCCCAAGUGCCUGAGCCACAUUUGAUGGAACCCUGGCAGGAAGCAGGGUUGUGCUCUGAUGUUUUGAGUUGACAAGUUUUAGCUUGUAAUGCUUUUACUUUUAUUCAGAAGUGACUGGGUUUCCCUGGAAAUAACCUAGAUUAAAUUUCUCGAUUGGAGGGAACUGGGGGGAGGGGUCCCAAGACAAAUGAAUUAUGAUUAAAAUAAUUUGAGGCGUAUUCUCUUGUGAUGCGGCAGGGUCAGGAUCCAGCACUGUCACUGUGGUGGUUUGGGUUGCUGCUGUGGCUCAAGUUGGAUCCCUGGCCUGGGAACUUCCACAUGCUGUGGGCAUGGCAAAAUAUUAAUUUGAGGAAAACAUAUUCGACUUAAUACAUUUGCGUUGAUUUAUUAUUAUUAUUAUUUUACUCAGUACAUUCAUUUUUACUUCUAACCCAUUGCUUCUCCCCUUGCAUGGAUUUCACUUGCACCAAAACCCCCCGGUUGAUUGUCUUACCCAUUUCCCUUUGGUCUCUAAUCUGCGUUGUGUUACAGGCACUGCGAAUGUGAUGAAAACGAUGACUCCUUUCCCUAGACAAAUGCUCACAUGCACAUACCUAUCAAAUUUGGCGUCCAAGCUCAGGGACUUCCCAGAUUCUCUGAACCCCUCACAUUGUCAGAAAAGAAAACUGGAAACAAAACGUUGGUUUGUGCUCUAGAAACGCGUGAAGAAAUCUCGUUUAAGGCGAGAUGCUUGAGUGCAUUCCUUCCCUUUCCCUGCCUUCCUAGAACCCGCUGAAAUGACAGUUAAAGAUACGGAGAGAGAAAUGGGUCCAUGACAGCUCCGAAGACAGGACUGUGUGCGUGGACGAAUAAGCGCUGUCGUCAGACUUCUGGAAGAGGGAGAUGAGAUGGGCUUGCAUUCUGUUAUUUCAAGAGUGGAACAUACAUUAAGAAUCCGUGGCCUAGAGCUCAAAUGGGGAAUCAUACUGGUGGUGGGAGCCCUUCUUCAGACAGGCACUAGCACUGUUACACGUGGAGCGUUAGGGUGAGAGCUUUGAGGCAGCAAGCUGGGUGGUUAACUGGAAGGACGGCCUCGGGACAUUUUGGCUAAGCAGCCCCUUCCUGUCUUAGCUGUGCAUAGAGAAAUUUGAAUUCUAAGAAUUGUUUUCCGAACCUAUGAAAGAUUUGCUAAAGGACAGUUCAGAUUAUGAAGCUGGAGCAAGGGAGCAGGCACACUGAUAUUUGAAAUAGAUCCACAGGAUCAAAUGGAAAUUCUGGGGAAGAGCCAGGGGAUUAAAACAAAAGACAUUUCAGACUAGGAGGGAAACGCAGUCUUUGGUAGUGGAGGGCUUUCCAAAUGCACCUGCCUGCUCCCUACCCAGCCGGUGCUUUUGACUGCAAAGAAUGGAGAGCCAAACUCAAGUAGCUUUGUCAGAAGGAAAUGUGGUAUCUUAUAUGAAAUUCAAAGAUAGGGCAUCCCCAGGGCUGGUAAAUUAAUGAGCUUAAUAAUGGCACGUAACGAAGUUCUUGAUUCUUCUUCAUCCACUGUGUCAUAUCCUCAGCUUGUUGGCUUUGUUCUCAGGCUGGUUCCUCCCUGAUGAUAAGAAGUCCAGUCAUUCCAGGAGCCAUACCCAGAAAUAACAGUCUCCAGAGAAAGACAAGAAUGUCUCUUAUUCAGAAGCUCCAACUGACUUACCUUCAUGUUUUAUUGACUAAAAUUUUAUCACAUGCUUAUUCCCAAGCCACUCACUGGAAGGGUGAUAGGAUCGCCGUGAUUGACUUAGACCAUUCAGGAAGGCCCCCCGUGGGUACGUGGAGAGGGAGGGUAGAAGAUUCUGUUUUGAAAAGCAUGGGGGUGGGCGCAGAUGACUGUCAUGACGCUCAGCAGUCAAUCAGAUCCUAGUCUCCAAACUCAAGUAUGUUACGGAAUCUUGGUUUAUUAUACUUUGCUUCUUUGAGGAGGAAGUGGGAACAGGAAGACUGGAGAAGCAUCUAGCAAUGAUCCAAUGAUCUUUUCUGGUGGUAAGCUGUCACUUUUACCCUGCUGUGACCUUACAGCUAUCUGUGUAGAGCUGUUCUACAGACAAAUAUUUGGAUCUGGAAAUUCCCAGGAAAAUCAUGAAAAAAAGAAACAACAACUAGUUUUGAAAGACUGGAUGCUUUACUUCCAAAUCACUCCUUUUGGACCAGCCAAGAAACGAUCAUAGGUGUUUGGCACAGUAUCCCAUUUCCCCCUUUAAGCUACAAGCAGAAGCAUUGAAUGUUAACGCUGGUGGUUGUGCAAUUUAACUAAGAGCCUUAACGUUUACGCAACUGGAGAAGGCUUCAUUUGAGAGAAAGUAUUGUCAGGUGUGUGACACAUUCAACUGAUGCCUAAGCUUUCUAUACCCAGCACCGUCACUACUGAUUCAUAGUGUGGUUCUAACAACUCACUUUUUCUUAAAUGUUGGUUGCAAAACCACAUUAUCAGAAGGAUGCACUGUGGCACCCAACACUGGAACCUUAAGUGACGUAAGCUAGAGCACAGGUCCUCCACCCUUCCAUGGGAAAUGUGUUCAAAAGGUAGCCCUUCAUUUGAAUCUUUACCAAGUAAAGGAAGGCUGUACACUCCCAAAUAUUUGUGCCAGGACUUGCUAGACUCAUUUAUUUAUUCAACAAGUAUAUAUGAGGGCCUACUAUGUGCCAGACACUAUUCCAGUCUCUCUUAAUAGACAAAACAAACUACAGUCAAGCAACUUGCUUCCUGCUGGAGGGAGACAUACAGAAAACACAAUAUAAACCCAGUAUAGUAAUAAGGAAAUUCUAUGUUUUUUAAAAGGAGAUAAGAAUUUUGGAAAAAAUAGAGCCGGGUCAGGGGGGUCAGAGGUGCAGUGUAGGCCUCGUUAAGAAGGUGACAUUGGAGAGUUCCUGUUGUGGCUCAGUGGGUUAAGAAUCCGCCUAGUAUCCAUGGGGGUGCUGGUUUGUUCCCUGGCCUCGCUCAGUGGGUUCAGGGUCCAGGGUUGCUGCGAGCUGCAGUGUAGGUUGCAGACAUGGGUUGGCUCCUGUGUCACUGUGGCUGUGGUGUAGGCCUGCAGCUGCAGCUCCGAUUCAGCCCCUAGCCUGGGAACUUCCAUAUGAUGUGGGUCCGCCCUAAAAAGGAAAAGAGGAGUUCCCGUCAUGGCUCAGUGGUUAACGAAUCUGAUUAGGAACCGUGAGGUUGUGGGUUUGAUCCCUGGCCUCGCUCAGUGGGUUAAGGAUCUGGCGUUGCCGUGAGCUGUGGUGUAGGUUGCAGAUGUGGCUUGGAUCCUGCGUUGCUGUGGCUCUGGUGUAGGCUGGUGGCUACAGCUCUGAUUAGACCCCUAGCCUGGGAACCUCCAUAUGCUGUGGGUGCGGCCCUAGAAAAGACAAAAGAAGAAAAGAGACAGAGGGGCCAAGUCCUGUAAAGGGUUGGGUGGAGGGGGCAGUGCUCCAGGCAGAGGGAAGGGCCAGGACGAAGAGCCUCAUGUGGAGCAUCCAGGACCGCAAGGAGGCCUAUUGUGGGGGAGGUUUAACAGAGUGGAUACAGAUACCAGCUGUUUGCAGUGAAGACUCCAGAACUAUCUGACAGGCAUGCUUGCAGAUAAAGCUAAUAUUUGAAGCAAAUAUGAGGAGCUAUUGUGUUUACUUAAUUAGUUGCUGUAGCAAGUGCAUCGGGAAACACAGAUGCUGGGCUUGACCGCAAGGGUUUCUAAAGCACUUGGUCUGGGGUGGGGGCUCCAGAAUUUGCUUUUCCUACAAGUUCCCGGAGUGAUGUUGAUGCUGCCUCUUUGGUCACUUACAGAACCUCUGCUCCAUGACAGUGGGACUUCUCCCAGAGUGAAGCCUACGGUACAUUUUAGGUACAGUUUCUUGAUGAUUUAUUUAUGAAUCAUCUUUAUGUGAAUAGAGUCUAUUCCUCCAUAGUUUGCAUAUUGUGAAGCUCAGGUGGUCCGCCGGUCCAGCCCGUUGCCUUCUGGGAAAUCAUUUUUACCAUUUCAACCCCGUUUUUGAACUAAUGAGUCAGUCAGGUUAUGGCUUGUCCAAGUCACAUACUUAAGUUCUGGAGGAGACGGCGGUAUUAAUCUUUGCCACACUUUUUCUUUCUUUUUUUUAGGGCCAGACCCAGGGCAUAUGGAAGUUCCCAGGCUAGGGAUUGAAUCAGAGCUACAGCUGCCAACUUAGCAGCACGGGAUCUGAGCCGCACCUGUGACCUACACCUCAGUUCGCAGCAACGCCGGAUCCCUGACCUAUGGAGCAAGGCCAGGGAUCGAACCCACAUCCUCGUGGAUACUAGUCAGGUUUGUUCCGCUGCGCCACAGUGAGGACUUCCGAUCUUUGCCACAUUUUUAGGCCUGGCAUGCCCUUUGGCCUUUGCCUGUUUUGAACUUAUGUGCUUCUGGGUUUCUCCCUCGGCUUUCUUCUCCUCUUUUUUGCCCGGUGAUACUGGGGGCUGCUCCCUGAUCUGCUGGUCACGUCCUGUCUGUGAGGGCCACUUGCUAGAAGAGGCGGCUGGGCUGCGUCCAAGAACUGGCCUCAUCAGCAGUGACAGUGUUGAGGGGACACCUGCCGUACAAGAUGCCUCGUCACUCGGCCCAGAGUUCAUACCUAACCUGGGGUAUUUGCCUGUUCUCCUUUUUUUUUUUUUUUUUUGAUGGCAAGAUUUGUUAGACAACCACCCAUUUAACAGCAGCUUAAUUUAACCAAAAUCUCAAGUUUAUGUCUCCCCAGUGCAUGUCAGAGGUUUUUCUCUUUACUGAGAGACAUUUUUUUGCCCUAAAAAGACAUGUCCCCGUCGAUUCGGCCCCUUUACCUCCCUGCACCUUAGCUUCCUUGUCAGCAAAGCAGGAAACAUGAUCCUCCUUUAGAAAGGAGACCUUGGGACGUUCUGGGGCGCCAUGGCUUGGUUCCCUGCCAAUCUGGGCAGCCUCAUGGGAGGGCAAGACUUCAGGAUCCGUGCCAGGAAGGAGUGUCUGAAGGACUUGCUUCCCAAAGCAGUUUUUCUCCUCUUGCCACGACGCUGUCUCUGGAUCUAUCAGCAUCACCGUGUGUGAGCAAGGGCCUCUCUGCUGAAUUAAGCACAGGGUACUUUGCGGAGGGACUUAGAAGACAGUGAGGACGCAUUUAGACUACGUGUCUCUAACCCUUUCUGCAGGUUAUCUUUUGGGAAGCCGACUUUUUAAUCAAAGUACAGUUGAUGUGUGGUAUUACAUGUUUCAGGCGUACAGCAUGGUGGCUUGCAUGUUUAAAGGUUAUACUCCAUUUACAGUUACUAUAAGAUACUGGCUAAUUCCCUGUGCUGUACAAUAUAUCCUUCUAGACUAUUUAUUUUAUACAUAGUAGUUUGUACCUCUUAAUCCCUUACCUCUGUCUUGCCCUUCCUUCCUUCCCUCUCUCCACUCGUAACCACUAAUCUGUGAGUCUGUUUAGAAGCCAACUUUUGAAUCUUAAUUUCUACAAAGGUCACUAAUAUUUUAAAAAAUCAAAAUAUUAGCAGGAAAAAAAAGAAAAACCCCAGAAAGUUCCCUUGUGGUGCAGCAGGUUAAGGAUCCGGCAUUGCCGUAGCUGUGGCCCAGGCUCAAGUGUGGUGUGGGUUGGAUCCCUGGUCCCAGAACUUUCACAUGCUAUGGGCAUGGCCAAUAAAUAAAUAAAUGAAAUGAAGUAUAAAUAAGCUAUAACCCCACCUCUGAGGAAAGCAAUAAGAACGACACUAUUAAAAUCAGCAAUCUCCUCACCCAUGAUGAAACCGUCGUAACAAAGCAGCAAUAGACAGGAAUCCCCUCUGCUGGUAAAGAGUGUUUACUAAACCCUGCACCACACAUUGUCCUUGGUGAUAGGAUCCGGAAGGUUAAACGAAAGCCCUGCUAUCCACUGAUUCUAUCCAACAUUUUACUGGAGGGCCUAGCCAGUCAAAAAAACGAAACAAAAAACCCCAAAAGAAUUAAAAGGCAUAAAUAUGGGAAAGGAAGAAAUGAAGACCACUGUUAUUUGCAGAUGAUAUAAUAAUUACGUGUUUAGACAAUCCAAAAAAA